AGCAACAUAAUAUAGCAAAAUGGAUUGCAAGAUUUCCUCAACAAAGUUGGCUUGUAUUGUUGCUUAUUUACUUUUUGCAUGCUUUUUCCAACUUCUUACGGCAAACGAGGAGGUCAAGUUAAAUGAUGAGUUAAAAGUUAUACAACUUCCAGAGGCAAAGUCAGAAGCACUCGAUGGUGUGUUUCAAGUGUUUGUAACUAGAUAUGAUCGACAACAUGUUG